rnacentral:lncRNA from 1 species
GAAUUCUUCAUGUUUUAACAGCAAGCUGUAGGUCAUAUAUUUUUAUACUAUAGUAGUCCAGUUGAACUAAGUAUAUGCCAUUGGCCUAUGGGUUAAUAAAUGCAUGACAAUAAUUCUUUAUUAAAUUAAGAUUUAAUUCACUAGAUUAGUAGGGCAGACACUGUGAUCUAUAAUAAUAUUGUUUAUAUAUUUCUGAUUAAAUGUUCAUUAUUUUUAUACUAGUGUAACUCCUUAGCUAGUUCAGGAUGUGGGUGAGGUUAGGAGACUUACGUAUUUUAAAAUCAACAAAAUGAUUUAUUAGACCAGAUAGUUUGUUGGAUUUAGGAAUUUCACAUAUAUCAUUUUCACAGUGUCCGGGAUCAAUUAAAAAUAUGUAUGGUUUUGUCAUAGUGGUCCAUAUAUAAGAAAAGUCAAUCACUUUUAAAUGUGUUAGCCUAUUUAAUGGUUGUGCUCAGUUGGAACUUUCAACUCAGAUCUCCAAUGAACUAAACAAACUUCCAUCAAAAGACUACUUACAUCAGCCUACUAUCCUAUGGCUGUAAUCUGUUCUAAAAUAAAAUUUGACUUUGUGUUUUUCCUUUCAAAACCUUCUAACACACCAACAUUUGUCUUUUACACUGUCUGGGUUUAAAAAAAAAUAAA